UGGCGGACGGGUGAGUAACGUGUAAAGAACUUACCAUAUAGACUGGGAUAACAGAGGGAAACUUCUGAUAAUACUGGAUAAGUUAGAAGUAGCCAUUACUAAGUAAUGAAAGGUAGCAAUACGCUAUAUGAGAGCUUUGCAUCCUAUUAGCUAGUUGGUGGGGUAAAAGCCUACCAAGGCGAUGAUAGGUAGCCGGCCUGAGAGGGUGGACGGCCACAAGGGGACUGAGAUACGGCCCUUACUCCUACGGGAGGCAGCAGGC
rnacentral:rRNA from 1 species